rnacentral:rRNA from 1 species
UACAGAGGGGGCAAGCGUUGUUCGGAAUUACUGGGCGUAAAGGGCGCGUAGGCGGCCUGUUAAGUCGAACGUGAAAUCCCCGGGCUCAACCCGGGAACUGCGUCCGAUACUGGCAGGCUUGAAUCCGGGAGAGGGAUGCGGAAUUCCAGGUGUAGCGGUGAAAUGCGUAGAUAUCUGGAGGAACACCGGUGGCGAAGGCGGCAUCCUGGACCGGCAUUGACGCUGAGGAGCGAAAGCCAGGGGGAGCAAACGGG